rnacentral:rRNA from 1 species
UACGUAGGGUGCGAGCGUUAAUCGGAAUUACUGGGCGUAAAGCGUGCGCAGGCGGUUUUGUAAGACAGAUGUGAAAUCCCCGGGCUCAACCUGGGAACUGCGUUUGUGACUGCAAGGCUAGAGUGCGACAGAGGGGGGUGGAAUUCCACGUGUAGCAGUGAAAUGCGUAGAGAUGUGGAGGAACACCGAUGGCGAAGGCAGCCCCCUGGGUCGUAACUGACGCUCAUGCACGAAAGCGUGGGGAGCAAAC